GCUCCAGUGGCCUAGUGGUUAGAUCGUCGGCAUCGAAUGCGGGUGGUCGUGGGUUCGAUCCCCGGUCGAGUCA